GUGAGGAAUAUUGGUCAAUGGGCGGGAGCCUGAACCAGCCAAGUCGCGUGAAGGAAGAAGGAUCUAUGGUUCGUAAACUUCUUUUGCAGGGGAAUAAAGUGCAGGACGUGUCCUGUUUUGUAUGUACCCUGAGAAUAAGGAUCGGCUAACUCCGUGCCAGCAGCCGCGGUAAUACGGAGGAUCCGAGCGUUAUCCGGAUUUAUUGGGUUUAAAGGGUGCGUAGGUGGUUUGAUAAGUCAGCGGUGAAAGUUUGCAGCUUAACUGUAAAAAUGCCGUUGAAACUGUCGGACUUGAGUGUAAAUGAGGUAGGCGGAAUGCGUGGUGUAGCGGUGAAAUGCAUAGAUAUCACGCAGAACUCCGAUUGCGAAGGCAGCUUACUAAGCUACAACUGACACUGAAGCACGAAAGCGUGGGGAUCAAACAGGAUUAGAUACCUUACC
rnacentral:rRNA from 1 species